rnacentral:piRNA from 1 species
UGCAGGUUAAAUAUGUCACCUGUUGGCACAAC